AUGCAGGCCAUCAAGCGUGUGGUGGUGGGAGACAGAGCUGCAGGUAAAACUUGCCUAUUGACUGGUUAUACAACCAACUCAUUUCCUGGAGACUAUAUCCUCACUGUCUUUGACAACUGUUCUGCCAAUGUUAUGGUACUUGGAAAAUCAGUGUAUCUGGGCUUAUGGAAUACAACUGGACAAGAAACUAUGCCCCCUAUCCUAUCUGCACACAGACGUGCUCUUAAUUUGCUUUUCCCUUGGGAGUCCCACAUCAUUUGAAACUGCUGGUGCAAAGUGGUAUCCUAAAGUGUGGCACCACUACUUUCCAAACACUUUUGUCAUCCUUGUGGGAAUUGAACUUGAUGUUAGGGAGCCUUUGUACACUUUGCUGAGAA
rnacentral:lncRNA from 1 species